GACGAACGCUGGCGGCGUGCUUAACACAUGCAAGUCGAACGGUGAAGCGCCUUCCUUUUUGGUGGGUGUGGAUGAGUGGCGAACGGGUGAGUAACACGUGAGUAACCUGCCCCCUUCUUCUGGAUAACCGCAUGAAAGUGUGGCUAAUACGGGAUAUUCUGGGUCUGUCGCAUGAUGGGUCUGGGAAAGAUAUUGUUUCGGUGGGGGAUGGGCUCGCGGCCUAUCAGCUUGUUGGUGGGGUGAUGGCCUACCAAGGCGGUGACGGGUAGCCGGCCUGAGAGGGUGGUCGGUCACACUGGGACUGAGACACGGCCCAGACUCCUACGGGAGGCAGCAGUGGGGAAUAUUGCACAAUGGGCGCAAGCCUGAUGCAGCGACGCCGCGUGAGGGAUGGAGGCCUUCGGGUUGUGAACCUCUUUCGCCAGUGAGGCAGGCCCGCCUCGUUUGUGGGUGGGUUGACGGUAGCUGGAUAAGAAGCGCCGGCUAACUACGUG
rnacentral:rRNA from 1 species